AGUUAUUUACCUUUUGUUUCAGGGUUUUUUUAUUUGUAAAAUAUAGAGAUCUUGAUUGAUUUAGGGCUAAAUGUAUAUAUUUAUGUUAAAAAUAAGUUAAAUUGUUUAGUGGUAAAAUUUUAUCGGUGAGUCUGGUAUCUAGUUAAAUUUAAUAGACUUUAGGUCUACUGUCGGUGACAGGUGUGGUAUAAGGGUAAUCUUUAUAUUAAAUUAAACUGUGUAUUAUUUCGUUAAAACUGAGCUUUAAAUUUGCUAUGUUACAUAGUUUGUUAAAAAUAAUAAUUUUAGUUGUUUAUAGUGUUUAUUAUUAGUUUAUUGUUCCGUAGUUUAUAGAAAUAUUUAUAAUGAAGGAAUUAGUAUUUUUGAGAGGUGUAUAAAAGGAACUCAGUGUAUUUUUGAUAGUUUAACAAAAACAUUUUUUUACUAGAGUGUAAAAUAAGGCCUGCCCAGUGAAAUUUAAACGGCUGCGGUACUCUGACCGUGCUAAGGUAGCAUAAUCACUUGGUUUUUAAUAGGGACCUGGAAUGAAAGGUCAAACAAAUAUUAUUUUCUUUUUUGUAAGGAGUGAAUUUAAGGUUUAAGUAAAAACGCUUAAGACAUUUGUGUGACGAUAAGACCCUAAAAGCUUUAUUUUUAAAUUUGGUAUAUUUUUAAUAGUUAAAAUUGUAGAUAAUUGGUUGGGGUAAUAACUCUAAAAAAAUUAGGGUAGUUUAAAUAAGAAUAAUUAAAUUUAGAUCCUUAUUAUUAGGAUAAUAGUUGUAGUUACUUUAGGGGUAACAGGGUAAUUAUUUUAUGGAGUUCUUAUCUACAAAAUAGAUUGCUACCUCGAUGUUGAAUUAAAAUUUCUACGUGAUGCAAAAGAUGCGUUAGAGGGUUUGUUCAACC
rnacentral:rRNA from 1 species